rnacentral:lncRNA from 1 species
CUUAUAUUAUAAUAAAGUAAGUAGGAAGGAGCGAAAGCUACUCAACCAAACGGGAGAGGCGACCAAAGGAAGCUGGUUCACCUUCUCUCCUCCGUUACAACAUAGGUCGUUCCAAUCCCGAAUGAAAAUAUUCCUGAACUGAAGUCAAGGAGGAAAGUUCCAUCGUGUCCUUCAAAGAUCGAUCUGAUAAUUGUGUGUAUAAGGUUUUACUUAACUAGCCCUAAAGGUAACUUAAAAUCCUCAAGCUCUUCU